CCUACGGGUGGCAGCAGUGGGGAAUAUUGGACAAUGGGCGAAAGCCUGAUCCAGCAACGCCGCGUGAAGGAAGAAGGCUUUCGGGUUGUAAACUUCUUUUGACAGGGAAGAGCAGAAGACAGUUCCUGUCGAAUAACCCACGGCUAACUACGGGCCAGCAGCCGGGGUAAUACGGAGGUGGCAAGCGUUGUCCGGAUUUACUGGGUGGAAAGGGCGUGUAGGCGGGCUUGCAAGUCAGAUGUGAAAUCCGGGGGCUCAACCCCCGAACUGCAUUUGACACUGGUAGUCUUGAGUAUCGGAGAGGCAGGCGGAAUUCCCGGUGUAGCGGUGAAAUGCGUAGAUAUUAGGAGGAACACCAGUGGCGAAGGCGGCCUGCUGGACGACAACUGACGGUGAGGCGCGAAAGCGUGGGGAGCAAACAGGAUUAGAUACCCGGGUAGUC
rnacentral:rRNA from 1 species